rnacentral:rRNA from 1 species
AUACGGGGGGUGCAAGCGUUACUCGGAAUCACUGGGCGUAAAGGGUUCGUAGGCGGCUUGUUUAGUCCUUCGUGAAAGCCCCAGGCUCAACUUGGGGACUGCGCGGGAUACUGACAGGCUUGAGGGUAGGAGAGGCAAGCGGAACGUUGCAAGUAGCGGUGAAAUGCAUUGAUAUGCAACGGAACACCAAUGGCGAAGGCAGCUUGCUGGACUACUCCUGACGCUGAGGGACGAAAGCCAGGGUAGC